GUGCUGGCUUCAGCAGCACAUACACUAAAAUCGGAAUGAUACAGAAAUUAUCAUGGCCCCUGUACAGGGAUGACAUGCAAAUUCGUGAAGCCUUUUU
rnacentral:snRNA from 1 species